CACAAGGCACAGGGAUAGUGAUUCAGGUAAGGUCAGGUCAGGUCGAGUCAGUCCUGGGCAGUAAGUAAGCUGUUAGAAAUGAUAGGUAGGAAAAGUUAGAGGCGGAUUUCUUUUCCCCUUUUGUUUCUUUUUUAUUUCUUUUGUUGCAACUUGAUAGCACAGGAAGGCGCUUAUUGAAACAAACUGUUUAGAAUUCAAGGCACUGCGGAGAAUGAUGCGUGUUUGUUAGUGAACUGAAUGUGAAAUAGACAAGCAGCUAAGUUAUUGGAGUUGUAGCAACUUGGAAAUUAAGCAAUUCUGUAACCCGCUGGUACUGACUAAGAGAACGUUUGUAACUGAAGAUUUUAACUAUUUUAUUGUCUUUUAAAUUGCACGGAUUUUGAGAAGAGAGUGACGGUGUGGUUUCAGCAGCCACCCUUCUUGUGGAUGGUUGCAGUAGGGCAGGCGAGUUCCCUUCCCUCCUGCACUGGGCCUGGAGGACGUGCAAGCAACAUUGACAGAAAACAUUUCCCCCUUAGAAAGUCUGCCUCUCGGUGUGACGGAUGGACGGUCAGCAUUAAAGUGGGACUGAUUUUGAUUUUUUUUUAUUUCUUUUUUUCAAGGACACUCAACAUCUAGCUUGAGCUCGGUUAUCAUUUUUUUUUCUUUUGGAUUUUUUUUUCUUUAUUUGGUCUGCCCUUCACUUUAAUUUAUUUUCUUCCUUUUUAUUAUUACCAGCUCGAGUAUAAGUUGAGAAAUCUAAACCCAAAACACAGUCCUGAAGUUGGGGGGGGGGGGGGGUCAACUAAUGCACAGCCAAACAUAUGAACCGAUCUAUAAUUUAUAGUAACAUAUAGUCUAUAUUUACUGAUUGCGAUGACCGGCGGCGGUAUUGAACGCUAUGGAGGUUAUUAUUAUUAUUAGGCUAAAGCAUAUUCGAGGUCUAUACUGGAGACAGGAGAUUGAAUAUUUGUGGGAAUGUGAAUCAGGAGAAAUAAUGGAAAGGUCAGCGCAUCCCGCUGCUUCGCCAGAGUAGCUGCUUGGGCAUGACGCGACUAAUACAGAAAGUAAGGCAGAUAAAAAAAGGUUAGUUAGCAAGUAAGACUGACACACAGACUUGGAGGACAAAACACAGAGCUGGCCGAUCUUUUCCAAAGCUACCUCCUGUUGAAGGACAGACGCCUGUCGUCUGUGCUCCCACUAGAAUCUGGGGUAAUGUCCACUUUCAGUGUUAUACAUGCUGCUUAUAUAUUUGAAUGCUUUUAAACAGAGACUCAUACUAAAAUGUUGUGAUUCAGAUGAACUUUCAUGGUUGUGCUUUCUUCCUUCCUACACAGCACCUAUUCUGACAUCAUUAAAGGUACAGGCACCCCACUCCUGGUACCAUAAUCUUACACAUGUAUAGCAUGAAUUAUAUUCAUUGUUAAUCCUACAAAAUACAGUAACAACAUGUCCAGAAGGAGUGGAGUGAUAAAUACAAAUAUUUCGUCAGUAAUGUAAUUUGGGUUAGAAAAAAUAUAUUAGUAGGGCUGUCAAGUGAUUAAUUUUUCUCAAUUAAUCUUGGUUUUAAUCACAUAUUUCAUUGAUACAAUUACUGCAUCCAUCUCAUUUAAGUUUGUAUUAUUAUUAUUAUUAUUAUUAUUAUUAUUAUUAUUAUUAUUAUUAUUAUUAUCAUUAUUAUUAUUAUUAUUUAAUAAACAACCCAGCAUAAAAACACUGUUUUCCUAUUUCUGGAUUCUGGAUCCUAUUUGUUGGUCCCUGUUUAUAGUUUUAUAUUUAUUUACAAUCCAGCAUUUGUUGUUAAAUUGUUUGUACCAACUGCUAAAUCACAACGGAGUCAGUUUAUUACUCACCUUACUGCAUUUACAAUUAACAGUUUCCUUUACAGUUUACUGCACUCAUAAACUGAUGUUUUUGAUUGCUGUUUAAAUAACAACAACAACAAUUAUAAGAAUUAUGUUUUAUUAAUAACUUGAAAUUGUCUAAAUAAAACCAAAUAUUCACAAGUAAUGGUUAUAUCCCUCAUAAUUGUAAAUAAUAUUGCUUAAAAAUAAAUGUGGUAAAUGAAAUAAAACAAAGCUACAAUGUGACCGGCUCUGUAGUCGGUAGCUAUCCAACAGCACUGGUUAUACUUAUAGUAUCAUUUCUAAAAGAGUACUCUGUCGAAACUGACAUGUUUCAAAUGUUGUUCUAUUGUCUGUAGCAGAAGAACUACUAGAAAGUGUAUUUUGAGAAGUGAAAGCAUAUUUAGCACGCAGGUGGUACAGCCGCCUAGAUGCACUUCUGUGAUACUGGAACUCACUUUGACUGUAGAUACAAGUAACCCUCUUUCUAUCCAAUGAAUCAUCAGAAAGUUUAAUAAAAAUAAA